GACGAACGCUGGCGGCGUGCUUAACACAUGCAAGUCGAACGGAAAGGCCCUGCUUUUGUGGGGUGCUCGAGUGGCGAACGGGUGAGUAACACGUGAGUAACCUGCCCUUGACUUUGGGAUAACUUCAGGAAACUGGGGCUAAUACCGGAUAGGAGCUCCUGCUGCAUGGUGGGGGUUGGAAAGUUUCGGCGGUUGGGGAUGGACUCGCGGCUUAUCAGCUUGUUGGUGGGGUAGUGGCUUACCAAGGCUUUGACGGGUAGGCGGCCUGAGAGGGUGACCGGCCACAUUGGGACUGAGAUACGGCCCAGACUCCUACGGGAGGCAGCAGUGGGGAAUAUUGCACAAUGGGCGGAAGCCUGAUGCAGCAACGCCGCGUGCGGGAUGCCGGCUUUCGGGUUGUAAACCGCUUUCGCCUGUGACGAAGCGUGAGUGACGGUAAUGGGUAAAGAAGCACCGGCUAACUACGUG
rnacentral:rRNA from 1 species